GUGUAUAUAUUAUAAAGGUAUUAUAUCUGAUUUGCAAUCAUAAGAUUAAUAUGCACA
rnacentral:tRNA from 1 species